rnacentral:lncRNA from 1 species
AAUUUAGCAAGGAAAUAGAGUGAAAGAUGCCCACAUAUGAUAGCUCAAAUAAGCACUUUUUGGCAUCUAACAGUUUGGCAUUGUAACUGUCUCUUUCAUUGGUGUUGGCUAUAAUGUUUUUCUCACGGUGGAUCUCUCUACACUAUUAAGUGUUUGAUUAGAAAAUCAAUGACAGAGCCGAAGCUCUAAUACCAAUUGAAGGUAGAGAAAAACAAGAAAGGGGGGUUUGAAUUGUUUCCACGGAUAAUAACAAUUUUUACAAAUAAAACACACGCGAAAAAAUAAUACUAUCGACAGAGAAGUUUAUCCUGGUUUGCUUGAAAUUCAAAGCUACUUC